rnacentral:rRNA from 1 species
CAUGGAGUUUGAUCCUGGCUCAGAUUGAACGCUGGCGGCAUGCUUUACACAUGCAAGUCGAACGGUAACAGGUUAAGCUGACGAGUGGCGAACGGGUGAGUAAUGCAUCGGAACGUGCCCGAUCGUGGGGGAUAACGCAGCGAAAGCUGCGCUAAUACCGCAUACGAUCUGAGGAUGAAAGCGGGGGACCUUGUAGCAAUGCGGGGGCCUCGCGCGAUCGGAGCGGCCGAUGUCAGAUUAGCUAGUUGGGUGGGGUAAAACGCCCACCGAAGGCGACGAUCUGUAGCUGGUCUGAGAGGACGACCAGCCACACUGGAACUGAGAC